AAGAUUAUGGGGCUAAUGGUCAUCUUGAUGUUAAAGCUGGAGAAACAAAUACAUUGGCAAAUUCAGUUAAAAGAGGUAGUGCUAACCGUAAUUUUGGAAAACUGUAGCGGGAUAUUCGUUACCAUUAGAGAUAUUGACUAAAUCCAAGGUAAACCAUACAAGUCGAGUCGCCACCGCACUUCUAUUUAUCCAAAGGAAUGGUUAGAAAGCGAACAAAA
rnacentral:lncRNA from 1 species